rfam:Ciona savignyi cont_48172, whole genome shotgun sequence.
UACCUGGUUGAUCCUGCCAGUAGUCAUAUGCUUGUCUCAAAGAUUAAGCCAUGCAAGUCUAAGUACGAGCUCUCGUACAGUGAAACUGCGAAUGGCUCAUUAAAUCAGUUAUGGUUCAUUUGAUCGUACAGUUUACUUGGAUAACUGUGGUAAUUCUAGAGCUAAUACAUGCGAGAAGCGCCGACCUCGCGG